AGCUGUAUUUAUAUUUCUCUCAAGAUACUAGAUCACAUCUGAUCUUGGAAGCUAAUCAGGGUCAGCUGUGGUUAAUACUGGGAUGGGAGAUCUCAAAAAAUACCUGGAUGCUGGAG
rnacentral:rRNA from 1 species